GAUGAACGCUUUCGGCGUGCUUAACACAUGCAAGUCGAACGGAAAGGCUCCUGCUUGCAGGGGUACUCGAGUGGCGAACGGGUGAGCAACACGUGGGUGAUCUGCCCUGCACUUCGGGAUAAGCCUGGGAAACUGGGUCUAAUACCGGAUAGGACGAUGGUUUGGAUGCCAUUGUGGAAAGUUUUUUCGGUGUGGGAUGAGCUCGCGGCCUAUCAGCUUGUUGGUGGGGUAAUGGCCUACCAAGGCGUCGACGGGUAGCCGGCCUGAGAGGGUGUACGGCCACAUUGGGACUGAGAUACGGCCCAGACUCCUACGGGAGGCAGCAGUGGGGAAUAUUGCACAAUGGGCGCAAGCCUGAUGCAGCGACGCCGCGUGGGGGAUGACGGCCUUCGGGUUGUAAACUUCUUUCGCUAGGGACGAAGCGUUAUGUGACGGUACCUGGAGAAGAAGCACCGGCUAACUACGUGCCAGCAGCCGCGGUAAUACGUAGGGUGCGAGCGUUGUCCGGAAUUACUGGGCGUAAAGAGCUCGUAGGUGGUUUGUCGCGUCGUUUGUGUAAGCCCGCAGCUUAACUGCGGGACUGCAGGCGAUACGGGCAUAACUUGAGUGCUGUAGGGGAGACUGGAAUUCCUGGUGUAGCGGUGGAAUGCGCAGAUAUCAGGAGGAACACCGAUGGCGAAGGCAGGUCUCUGGGCAGUAACUGACGCUGAGGAGCGAAAGCAUGGGUAGCGAACAGGAUUAGAUACCCUGGUAGUCCAUGCCGUAAACGGUGGGCGCUAGGUGUGAGUCCCUUCCACGGGGUUCGUGCCGUAGCUAACGCAUUAAGCGCCCCGCCUGGGGAGUACGGCCGCAAGGCUAAAACUCAAAGGAAUUGACGGGGGCCCGCACAAGCGGCGGAGCAUGUGGAUUAAUUCGAUGCAACGCGAAGAACCUUACCUGGACUUGACAUACACCAGACCGGGCCAGAGAUGGUCUUUCCCUUUGUGGUUGGUGUACAGGUGGUGCAUGGUUGUCGUCAGCUCGUGUCGUGAGAUGUUGGGUUAAGUCCCGCAACGAGCGCAACCCUUGUCUUAUGUUGCCAGCACGUUAUGGUGGGGACUCGUGAGAGACUGCCGGGGUUAACUCGGAGGAAGGUGGGGAUGACGUCAAAUCAUCAUGCCCCUUAUGUCCAGGGCUUCACACAUGCUACAAUGGUCGGUACAACGCGUCUGCGAGCCUGUGAGGGUGAGCUAAUCGCUGUAAAGCCGGUCGUAGUUCGGAUUGGGGUCUGCAACUCGACCCCAUGAAGUCGGAGUCGCUAGUAAUCGCAGAUCAGCAACGCUGCGGUGAAUACGUUCCCGGGCCU
rnacentral:rRNA from 1 species